UACGUAGGGUGCGAGCGUUAAUCGGAAUUACUGGGCGUAAAGCGUGCGCAGGCGGUCUGUUAAGACCGAUGUGAAAUCCCCGGGCUUAACCUGGGAACUGCAUUGGUGACUGGCAGGCUUUGAGUGUGGCAGAGGGGGGUAGAAUUCCACGUGUAGUAGUGAAAUGCGUAGAGAUGUGGAGGAAUACCGAUGGCGAAGGCAGCCCCCUGGGCCAACACUGACGCUCAUGCACGAAAGCGUGGGGAGCAAACAGG
rnacentral:rRNA from 1 species